AAAGUCGUAACAAGGUUUCCGUAGGUGAACCUGCGGAAGGAUCAUUACCGUCACACAGGGACCUGCACUCCGGUGCGGAUCCUCUCUGUAAACCCAUCCGUGUACCUGUCCUGUUGCUUCCGUGGGUGUUCCAAGCACCCACGGGGGGUAUAGAGAAAACUACUUUUGCUUCAUCAUGCUGUCAUGUCUGAAUACAAUCAAUUAAAGACUAAAACUUCCAACAACGGAUCUCUUGGUUCUC
rnacentral:misc_RNA from 1 species